rnacentral:lncRNA from 1 species
GAAGCUUGUCUGAAGACGUGUACAUGCUAAUACCUAAUGGUUUUGUUGAGCGUGGUAAAGAAAACAUGGUGUGUAAGCUUAAAAGGUCUAUUUAUGGACUUAAACAAGCAUCCAGACAAUAAUAUUUGAAAUUUUAUGACAUUGUCAUCUCUUAUGGGUUUCAGGAGAAUGUUGUUGAUCAAUAUAUAUACUUGAGGGUCAGUGGAGCAAAUAUAUUAUUUUAGUGCUAUACGUGGAUGAUAUAUUUCACGUUGUUAAUGACAUUAAUUUUUUACUUGAGACAAAAUAAAUGUUGUCAUGCAAUUUUGAUAUGAAAUAUCUCGGUGAAUCUCAUUAUCUAUUAGGGAUAGAAAUUCUUCGUGACAGAUUUAGAAGAGUUCUAGAAUUGUCUCAAAAGGCCUACAUUGAUCGUAUUUUGAAAAGGUUCAACUUACGGUCUUAUGCUCCUGGAAAAGCAUCAAUUUCAAAAGGUGACAAACUUUCCAAGUCUCAAUGUCCAGAUAAUGAUGUAUACAAAGCUAGAAUGCAAACAGUCUCAUAUGCAUCAGUUGUGGGUAGCUUGAUGUAUGCUCAAAUUUGCACUCGCCCUGAUAUCACCUUUACAAUGGGAGUACUUGGGAGAUACCUAAGCAAUUCUGGAUUUGAACACUAGAAGGCUGUAAAGAAAGUGCUCAGAUAUUUGCAAGCCACCAAAGAUUUUGCUUUGAAAUAUCAACAAUCUGAUUAUUUAAAUAUAGUUGGAUAUUCUAAUGCUGAUUUUGCAAGAUGUUUAGAAGAUAAUAAAUUCACAUUUUGUUACAUCUUCAUUAUGGCAAGAAGAGCUAUAUCAUCAAAAAGUGCAAAGCAGACACUUAUAGCUUCUUCAACAAUGGAGACAGAAUAUGUAGCAUGUUUUAAGGCUACACAUCAAGCUUUAUGGAUGCAGAAUUUUAUCGCAGCGUAUUGUAUUGGUUGUACCAAGACCAUUAAAAAUAUAUUGUCAUAAUUCUGCAGUUGUUUCUUUUUCUCACAAUACAUGGAGUUCCUCACAUUCUAGACACAUUAAUGUUAAAUAUUUAUUUGUGAGAGAGAAAAUUACUCUAUCUUAUGUAUCAGUAGAGUACAUACCUACAAAACUCAUGUUACUUACUAAAACUUUAGCUCCAAAGUGUUUAGGGAGCAUGUGACUCAUAUGCAAUUAUUAGAAUCCACUUAUAUAUGCUUAGUCAGUGAGAGUUUUGAUUUGUAUUAUGAGUUACAACUUAAAUGAGAUUAUGUAUUACUCAUUUUGUUAUUAUGCAUGCAUAUUGUUAUGUGACAUUGAUAUGCCAUAUAUUGUGUACACAUUUAGUUGAGUAUGACAUUAUGUAUACAGUGACGAUAUUGUGGUCCGAGACAUUUUGUUUAGUCUCAAUAUGGACAUUAUGGACUGAAGCAUUAUGGCUUGGCUUCAUAAUACUUUCUUGAGACAUUUUGUUUCAGUCUCAUUAUGGUUAUAAAAAAGCACGGCUUCCUUUAGACAUCUUGGUAUUAGUCUCAUUAUAAUGAAAAGGAAGCUCAUUUUUCGAGAUAUUUUGAUCGAGUCUCCUUAUGGUUGUGAAGAAGCGAUAGUCUAGGAGACAUUUUGUUUUCGUCUCAUUUUGCUAGACAUAUGGACUUUAUGGAAAUGAGUAUGUUGAUCACAUUGUCACGCUAUUUCCAUAAUUAUACUUGUAUACUACUAUAUAGUCACGUGUUUUUAGGUAUCUUGUUGUAUGUAGCAUCUGAUCGGUGCAUAUAUGAUUUUGGUACUUAUGGCACAUUUGGAACUUAUUUAUGUUUUGGGUGAUUGCUAACAUUUGACUUUUUGUUAUAGUCAUAUAUUGAUUAAUUUGGUUGUUUUCAAAAUAUUUAUUUUAUUUUAUUUUAAAACUAUCAUUAGAAUGACUAGCUGUGUUCUAGUUUUAAAUAGUAACAAGCUGGAGCUUAACCCUAGUAGUUUUGUCAUAUAAUGGGAUUAAAUGAUGGGGGAAUGCCUAUAAAAUUCGAGAGUGACAAUGCAAAAGUGGUUACAUAUCUAGAAAUGUUUAGUGCAAUAUCCAAAGGAAUUAACUAUUAGAUUUAUUUCUCACAUUUUAUAAAUUGACAUAAAUCAUUCUAAUUCUUUUCUAUAUUUUAUCAAAUUAAUACGUGACUAAUGUCAAAUAUUAAGGAGUAAUUUUGACAGACUCAUUUAUUAAGUGAUCAAAUAUUAUGUUAAUGAGUCUGAUUUUAAUAUACCCUAUAUAAUAGUAUAUUGUAGAUAAAUAUAAUAUUUAAUUAUAUUAUUUUAACUCAUAAUGAGAUGAACAAAUUUAUAUUAACACAUGAGGCAGUCGCUACACUCAACCAUAAUAUUUAAAUCAUUUUAGCCCAUUGAAAAUUUAUUAUUGAACAAGCUGAGAACAAUAGUAUAGUGCACGAUCUCUUUCUUGUUCCCUUCCUCUCCUGUGUGUGUGCAGGGAAUUUGAGCAAAAAUUCAAAUCUUGGGUUAAGGUGAAACAAGCAAAAUUCAGAUAUUUGAAUCUAGUUCGUGAUAGAAGCUAUAUAAUAAACUUACAAACUCAGAUUCAUGACAAAUUAAACUAAAUCUUAAAAUUUAAUUUAAUGUGUGUGUUUACUUGGAAAUGAAAAUGUAAGAUUAAAGGCAUAAAACUCUUUUUUUUUCUAUCAUCAGUAAAAGCUCCUAUUUUUCAUCCAUCAGAGUGCAAAUACUUACAAAAAGCUCGCGAAUCCGUAUUGGGUAAUGGCUUCGAUUGUUCCAUCUGCAUUAGCAUCGGCUUCCACCACUCCUCCUCCAUCGCAAAUCUGUAAAUCGCAAGUCUUCCGCUUACAAGUCCCUACCAGCUUCACGCUGCAAUGAAAUUACACAAUGAUAAUAUUGAUCGUGUUUUUCGGAAGCCAAUUUAAAUUUUGAAAUAAAGAACGAAUAAAUAAAUUAUAAUUUCUCACCACUAACUUUCGGUUGCCUUACUGGUGAGUCCCUAAAUUACUCAUUAGCCCUACUUUCAGCCAUCAAAUUCACGGCUGAAAUGGAUUGUGAGAGUAAGUAGCUGCCACCUGCUGCAACGGUUAUCAGUGGGGGUGUAAAAUUG